UACGUAGGGACCGAGCGUUGUCCGGAUUUAUUGGGCGUAAAGAGCGUGUAGGCGGCCAUACAGGUCAGCUGUGAAAACUCGAGGCUCAACCUCGAGACGUCGGUUGAAACCGUCUGGCUAGAGUCCGGAAGAGGAGAGUGGAAUUCCCGGUGUAGCGGUGAAAUGCGCAGAUAUCGGGAAGAACACCCGUGGCGAAGGCGGCUCUCUGGGACGGUACUGACGCUGAGACGCGAAAGCGUGGGGAGCGAACAGG
rnacentral:rRNA from 1 species